UCCGGUUGAUCCUGCCGGAGGUCACUGCUAUCUGAAUCCGACUAAGCCAUGCGAGUCUUGGGUUAAACCAGGGCAAACUGCUCAGUAACACGUAGUCAACCUGCCCUUAGAUCCGGAAUAAUCCCGGGAAACUGGGGCUAAUGCUAGAUAGGUAACAAAUGCUGGAAUGCUUUGUUACUGAACUAAGGAUGGGACUGCGCCAGAUUAGCUUGUUGCUAGGAUAAAAUCCUGGCAAGGCGAUAAUCUGUACGGGCCUUGAGAGAGGAAGCCCGGAGACGCAUUCUGAGACACGAAUGCGGGUCCUACGGGGUGCAGCAGGCGCGAAACUUUCCCAAUGCGCGCAAGCGUGAGGGAGGGAUUCAGAGUGCUUUCUCGAAAUUCGAGGAAGCUUUUCUAGAGUUUAAACCGCUUUAGGAAUAAGAGGUGGGUAAGACUGGUGCCAGCCGCCGCGGUAAUACCAGCGCCUCGAGUGGUGACCACGUUUAUUGGGCUUAAAGCAUUCGUAGCCGGUUUGGUAAGUUCUUAAUGAAAUCCUGCAGCUGACUGCAGGGCUUGUUAGGGAUACUGCCAGACUCGAGACCGGGAGAGGCUGAGGGUAUUAUUGGGGUAGGGGUUAAAUCCUAUAAUCCCAAUAAGACCACCUGUGGCGAAGGCGCUCAGCCAGAACGGAUCUGACGGUGAGGGAUGAAAGCUAGGGGAGCGAAGGGGAUUAGAUACCCCCGUAGUCCUAGCUGUAAACGAUACCCACUAGACAUUGGCACUCUUAAGGGGGGUGCCAGAGUCGUAGGGAAACCGUUAAGUGGGUCGCCUGGGGAGUACGGUCGCAAGGCUGAAACUUAAGGGAAUUGGCGGGGGAGCACACAAGGGGUGGAGGCUGUGGUUUAAUUCGACUCAACGCGAGGAACCUUACCAGAGGCGACAGCAGAAUGAAGGUCAGGCUGAUGGUCUUACCAGACAAGCUGAGAGGUGGUGCAUGGCCGUCGUCAGUUCGUGCCGUGAGGUGUCGACUUAAGUGUCGUAACGAACGAGACCCGCACCCUAUGUUACGACGGGCUUCUUUCGAGGUCCGGUACUCAUAGGGGACCGCUGGCGAUAAGCUAGAGGAAGGAGCGGUCGACGGCAGGUCUGUAUGCUCUGAAUCCCCUGGGAUACACGCGGCCUACAAUGGAUGGUACAAUGGGAUGCGACACCGAAAGGUGAAGCUAAUCCUCAACCCCAUCCCCGGUUCGGAUCGAGGGUUGCAACUCACCCUCGUGAAGCCGAAAUCCCUAGUAGUCGCUGGUUAGCAUCUAGCGGCGAAUAAGUUCCUGCUCCUUGCACACACUGCCCGUCAAGCCAACCGAGUGGGUUUUUGGCGAGCUCUCAUUUUUUGGUGAGAUCAAGUCACGGAUCUGCGAGGUGGGCUAAGUCGUAACAAGGUA
rnacentral:rRNA from 1 species